GUCAAAGGUUCCACGCCUUGGAGCCCCCCCUCUUAUUUCUGGACCUGAUCACCCGGGCAACCCCAAGUGGGGUGCCUUCUCUUGGCAGUUGACUUGUUGAGUAUUUUAGGCUCCUACUGAGUUGGUUAUGAGGAUUCUGUGAACUGUCCUGAUGGGGUCAUGUGCACUGGCAUGGGAACUGUUGUGUGUCCCUUAUGUUGAUAACCCUUGGGAAGAGGCCAUGAGGGUGAGGCCUGAUCUCUUUUCCUUUCUUUGUCUGUCUUGUUUGUCACCUCCUCUGUUGUCACCAAGUUGAGGUUAAGUUCAGGCUGGGCCUGAGCAGAACCUGGACCUUCUGUAGAAUCAAAAACUUGAAAACACUUGCCAGGGACUUAACUCUCAACCCUGGCACUGGGAGCCCAGCCCCCAGCUGGCUCCAGGCCUUUAUCUUCUGCUUCCCUGGCUCACCUUGUGCUGGUUCAGGGACUAAGUGCCUGGCCUGAGUGGGACUUGACUAAAUCUUAUAACUGUGUUGACACCCACAGUCAGGCUCUGUACCCUUUCUCCAGCCACUGUCAGUUGGACAAUGGCUUUACCACCAUGGGGAACACCUCAAGCAUCCCUGGAGACUCACCCCUUGAGUGUAUUUUAAUUAAUUGGAAACACUUUCAAUUGGAUGGGUUAUGCCCCAGAAACUCCAUCUUGGAGAAAACUUGAGGGAUUUCUCUGUGCCUUUGUGAUGUAGUUGGAUACUGAACACUAGGUAGAUCAACCUAUAAUGUCAUUUGAAUUACAACUUAAUUUCUGAGAACUCAAGAGCAGCUGUCCUUGGAAAAUCCUUGUAAGGCUGGAAAAGCAGUUCUAGAGGUGGUUCAGGUUCCACCCAUUUUCUUUAUCUCAAAGAGCUUGUAAAUCCUCUGGGGAAUAUCUAGCCCAUCACUAAUUCCUAAGACUGAGGGGUAAAAAAGGGAAAAAAGAAAAAAUGGCCAUAGAGUGCCCUUGCCAAAAAAUCUAGCAUCUUGAGUGUCUUCACGAAUAUGAGUAAAAAGGCUCAAAACAAAAUUUGGAUUCAUAACUACAGAGCUUUAAAUUACUGUACCUGAUUCAUGGCAGUAAUUUUAAAAUAAUAGCUGUGGAGACUCAGUGUAUGUGUGUCUAUAUGUGUGUUAUAUAUGUGUGAUAUUUUACCUCUGGAUGGUAUGGCCAAAAUUAAGAGCUCUGUUUAAUUGGCUUAAGGUAAGCACUUACAUAAAUUCUUGGUGUAAUAGAAAUUAACCCAAUGUCUUUCAAGUUAACAUGAUGUGAAUUAAUCUUUGGUAACUGAAAACUUAUUUAAGAUCAUUGGCUUGAUUGAAAUAGGCAUGUCCUUAAAGUUGUCAGUAUUUGGAUAUGAUGCAGGCAUGUAGCCUGCAUUUACCAGUCAAAUAAGCUCAUGUUGUCUGUUAGAAAUUCAUCAGUAAAAUAAUAUCUUUAACUGAUAGCUAAUUUUUUUCUAAUGUCUCAUGAAGUUUUUGUGGGUAAUAUGAAUGUAACUGUUGGAAAUAAAUGAUUUCAAUAGAUGAAAAUGGGUAAGAGUUUGUGGGUACAAUAAUUAUGUUUUAUGGUCUGUAUACUUGAAAAAAAAACAGCUUCCAAAUUCUUUUUGGUAACUUAAAAGUUUAGAGUUUUGCCAAGUUAAGUUAAAUGAUAAAAAUCUGUUGAGUAUCUGGGUCAUUUUUGGAUAGGAUGGAACACUGAAACAUUAUUGCUGAACAUUGUCUAAGUUAUCUACUUUUGGCUUCUUCUUGCAGAGAGGCUAAAGGAUGUUUAGGUCUAUUAGCAAACAUACCUGUAUUUUAUUACUCUCAAGUAGCAUGUUUCCUAGAAAUUAGGAAAAGUGUUUAGAAUGCUGAUGAAAAAGGCAGUUCAUAAUUGCUUAGUUUUUUAAGUUUUUGCUAGGGUCUGUAAGAGUUAAAAAUUCUAAUUUACAUAUGUAAUUAAAGCCACUAAAAAUUAAUGAGGAAAACAGCUCUGUAUACAAGGAAAUGAAAAUGUAUGUUUUCAGUAAAGAAGGUAUAAAGAGUGGAAGUAUUUUUGUUUGUUGGGUUAAGAAAGGUAAAUUUGUCCUAAAGUACUAGAAAGGAAGAAUGAAAGCAUGGGACAAAUUCUGAAUGUAAAAAGAAAGUUAUAGAAGGUUUGUGAAAGAGAAGGUCUGAGAGAGUUUUAUGCCUGGUCACGUUGGCUAAGAUUAAAGUAAAUCCAAUUAAGUAAAUGAAUUUUAAUGUCAAAAAUAAGCUGGUGCAAAGAUUAAAAUUUGGUUUCUCUCUCAAAAGGAUGAUUCUCUUGAAUUUUUGGUCUGCUCUUGAUAAAGAAGUUAUAAAAGGAGUUUCUUUGACAAUUUGGUGAAAUUGCACCUUGGUGAGCAGAACUGAAACAUUUAUCUUUUUCUCCCUACCUGAUCCCUCCAGAAUAUAGAAACUCUUUGUGAGUGAGUAUUGUUUUGAUGGCUACAUAGUUAUUCACGUAAGUUCAAUAAGAAUCUGUUCUCCUUAUAAGAAGACACAUUUGGAAACAUUGGUUAUAUUACUGAGGCUUUGACUGGAAUGUCAUAUUUGAGAGAAACACACAGGCUUGGAUGUGACAAGACAGCUUUUCAGGAACAAAGAUUGGACUUUAUGGAAUAAAACCCCUUGGAAAAAUUGGCCUGGUACCUUGUUUCCUAGCCACCUUAUGGGUAAGUGAGGAAGGUCACUUAUCUGGCAGGUGCAAGGAAUCUUGAAAUAUCUUGGGGGACCUCGAAAAGAGAGGAAUCCACCCAAAUCCGUAGGUAUUGCAGGCAAAAUCUGAUGGCAAAUCCUUGACUUGGCUUUUCUGGCCUUAAGAGCCCUUUAAAGUUCAAUCUGAGGUUCCUCAUAAAAAAUUCCAGAAAAGCAGAUUUGAAAGAGACUAUGUGAUCAAUUGCUAUUCUUGCUGCACUUAUGGAAAUAAUUGGAUCAAGUUUUAUUGAAACUACACUUAUUUUACAAACCAGUUAAUCUUAAUUUGGCUAUCUUUUGUAAAAAUGAGGGUGAUUUUAGAAAGAAAAAUUAUGUUUCAGUAGCAGCUAUAGUACACAUUCAUUUAUAUUAGAUUCUAGCUCUUCUCUGCUACAAGAUUUAUCUAUUACUAAUCAUGAUGUCGCCUUGUGGCCAUCCGUCUCUGAUACCUGGGAACUCCCUGGCCACAAUCAAAUCUUUUCCUUCAGCUCUACUGCCAAAAUCCUAACUAAAUUUGCCUUGUCACAAGUGUCAUAAACGAGUUCCUAAGGUAAAUUCCCCAACCUAUUGGUACACACAGGAUGGACUAUAUCAAAUUUAUGAUGAAUAUAUUUGGCUCACUCCUACUAGUGGUCAACUCAGUCAAAAGGUCACUUUAUGUUCAGAACAAACCGAUCACACCUGUGAUACGUGGCCUAAAAGCACCUGACCUAUGGGACAAAUUCCCUGUUAUAUGUGUUCUCAUAUCAUAGACUUAAAAAAUACUGAUUGCUUUGGGACUGACUGGGAUAGACGGCCAAGCAUGCAUUGGUUAGCCCCUAAUGGCACUCAGUGGUUAUGUGGAUCCCACUUAUGGCCUUGGCUGCCAUCUGGAUGGGUUGGAUGACACACCCUAGGCUUCGUCUAGAUGCAAGGUAGAACUACAUUUACUAUAUCUCCUCCUGUUAACCUACCCAACCUACAACAAUGCUGGACCCGUUCUGUCUUCCACUGGUAUGAUCACUUUGCUCCAAUUUUCCUUGCCCCAAUUAGGAAUCAAACGUGUCAUUGGGCACAUGGAAGCCCUAAACAAAUUUACCAUGAAGGUGUUAAAUGAUACACAACAUACCCUUUGCUGCUAGAUUUAGAAGUAUCCCAAAUGCGUAAGGCAGUCCUCCAAAACCAAAUGGCACUGGAUGUCUUGAUGGCAGUACAGGGGGGCACUUGUGCCAUUAUAAAAACUGAAUAUUGUGUCUAUUUUCCUUACUACCAUCAAAAUAUCACUGGUCUCCUAUCCAACAUGAGUCACCAAAUUAAAUCCAUGUCUAACCCUACCCCUAUCCCUAAAUGAUUGUUUGGAUUCCUGGUCUGGUCCAGGUCUCUGGACUAAUAUCAAAGCUUUAUUCAUUGGGUUAAUCAUAUUGUUUGUAUUUCUUAUUAUAAUUUGUUGUCUAUUUCAUUGUCUUCCUCAUGUCAACAAAGUUUUGCCUCCUGGACCACUUCUCAUCAAAUGAUUCUCUUGUCUCCAGAGGAUCUGUAUACCUUGUCAACCUUGGACUCCAUUGGCGCAACCUCUGGUCCACUGAACUUCCUGCCUUUAUGUCCCCCAUUUGGGACAGCUCUACAGCUUUGUUACAGAAGAUUGACCAUCGUCCAUAACCACAAAGGAUUUUGGGGCCAAAUGGGUUUAAGGGGGGAUUUUAUGAUGAGGAAUCAAGGCUGCCCCAGGGAGAAGCCCAAGGCGUCCUUGCCUACAUGCCAAUCUAUAUCAUCCUCCAGGAAGUAUAGGACGUCCUGAGCUGAAUCGACCUAAUUUGUAUCCAAAAUUAUAGGACCACCUGAUAACCAGACCCCACCUGCACUAAUACCAUUUUAACGAUUUUUUUUACAUGAUCUUCCCUUGUAAAUAACUCACAUACCUAUGCCUUAUAAAUUUAGCCCUACCCUCAACCCAUUGCAGCUCUUCACUGCCCAUGGGUCCUGUCCCCAUGCUCUUCUCUGAAUAAAGGAGCACUACUGCCAGACCUUGAGAGUCCAAGAAAUCUUUCUUUUGACUCCUCGGCUCACCAAGCAUGCAUUGUCAAGCCAUGACAAGACAUGGAGGAAAUUUA
ensembl:lncRNA